rnacentral:piRNA from 1 species
UUCUCUAGUCUGGGGUGUUGA